GACGAACGCUGGCGGCGUGGAUUAGGCAUGCAAGUCGGACGGUAGGGCUUUAUCGUAAGAUAGAGUUUGAGAGUGGCGAACGGGUGAGUAACACGUAGGAAUCUACCCUUAAGACGGGGACAACCCAGGGAAACUUGGGCUAAUACCGGAUGAGAGUGCGAGAGAUUGCAUUUAAAAGGAUGGCGAAAGUUGUCGCUUAGGGAUGAGCCUGCGGUCUAUUAGUUAGUUGGUGAGGUAAGAGCUCACCAAGGCGAUGAUAGAUAGGCGGCCUUAACGGGUGGUCGCCCACACUGGGAUUGAGAUACGGCCCAGACUCCUACGGGAGGCAGCAGUCGAGAAUAGUCUACAAUGGCCGGAAGGCUGAUAGUGCGACGCCGCGUGAGCGAAGAAGGCCUUCGGGUUGUAAAGCUCUGUCUGGAGGACGAAGGAAGUGACGGUACCUCCGGAGGAAGCCACGGCAACUACGUGCCAGCAGCCGCGGUAAAGCUACGUGA
rnacentral:rRNA from 1 species